AGGACUGGUCUAAAACAAAGUAAUAAUAUCAGUUCAAAGUCGUUCAGGCUUUGUUUGUUACUUACUCUUAACAUGCCAAAGGUAAGAAACAUAUUUUGGAAUCAAACUUAGAAAACCAACACAGCGGUUGCAGCAGCAGCAUAAAAAAGAAGAGACAGAAAUGAACAUAUAGAAGUUGAGCCCUCGAAAUGGUUUCAUGGUAUAUCGAACGUUCAAAGCCAAUUAUCUCACUAGAACUUUUCAAUAGCUACUCCAUCUCUCAGAACCUCGUAAGCUUCCCUACUUCGGGUUUUCUUCAACCCAGCUGUGAAAUGAACCUUGGAUUUUUCUGAAGAGAUGGCAGUAACUUUUACCCACACCAUCACCUUUGUUUUCAUUCCUUCAAUCUCGACUAGCUUUCCUUUUUCCAGAUAUCCAGUAACAGCUGUAGAGAAGCGCAAUACAGAUGAAUCCUUGUAGCCAACUUCACAUACAGAGGGUAUAAAGACUGUGAGCUUUCGUGUUUCUUCAUUGAACUCGUAAUUGGUGGCAUCACGAGGAAAAAUACCUACUGGAACAUCAU
rnacentral:misc_RNA from 1 species